CAAGUAUAUAGGCGCCGGGGUCGAAUGCUUGGUUGCCUUUAGAAUCAUUGGUAUAGCCAAUAAAGAGGGAAAAGGGGAAGGGAGCGAGACGAGAGAUAAUCUCAUCCGCUCGUGCUGUUUAGAUUGGCGCAGCGUCUUCCUCCCAGGGCAUCGAGCCGCGCGCCCACCACAACGGCCCAUUUGAAAGAGUGAAAGGGUGGCCUGCGCUCAACGUAAACACGCCCUUUGCACUUAACGUUACUGAGUAGAGUGCACGCGGGUAUGGCGGGUUUCGUUUGUUUGUGUUGGACAAUGACAAUGACCAAUUAGGAUGUUUUUAUAAGAAGAUGAAGUGCGGGUCUGACGGAGACCAUCGCGUGCUGCUCCCAAGCAGUCCCUGAACCGGUCCCCGUGUUUACCGAAAGGAAGAGCCUGUUUCCGGUAGCUAACAAAACACAUGCUCUACAGCCCCGCGAGGCGGGGCAGAGACAGCAGAACCGGACGGACACGACCAAUAGAUCAACCUCCUCCACGACCUCGGGCAGGACAGGAGUUCAUCCCCGGGGAAGCCAUGGACAAGCCAGGUCAAGGGCCCACCGCGGCUCAGGGGAGUUUGUCAUUAUAACGAGGGACGUCGGAGAGCCGCGCAAUGACAGCUGGGGCUGCGUUUAGUAGGAUUUCACAGGAUAUGUUAGCUUUUGGGUUGUGCAAGUUCGCUUGGCUAUAGUCCUACUGAUUCAUUGUUGCAGGUUUAGCAACAGAUUACUGUAAAUGUUACAGAUUGGGUAAGGGUUUGUGUGGGCAGGCUAACACCUCUCUGCUCUUGUAGGCCUAUUGGUUUCGUUCGAGGCAUUCGCGAGAGGAUUUGUGUGAAAACACAAUGUACAAGAGCAAACAAAUGCCCUGAAUGUAAGUUGCUGUGAAUAAGAGCUAAAUAAACAAAAUAUAACAUUCAAAUAGGCCAACGUAAUUCCCACUGUGCUCAACUGUGUGCAGUACCUAAUUGGAUUGAACUCUAAUAAAUACCUUUUUCUUAAGAGUUUAUAUUAAAAGGAACUCUACCUCUUCUCUCUUUCUAAACCAGGACGUUGUGCUGGUGAUAAUGGUAUAAGUAGCCAUGUUAAUAUAGAGAGCCGUUUGGCAUGUGUGUUAGAGAAACAGUGUGACGGUGUGUGUGUGUGUGUCUUUGGGGUGGGGGUUAUAUCCAACGUGAUCUCAUCGCAGGUCGUUAGUGUGAGGACUCCUGUUUCCUCAUGAUAAAACUCGAUCCUAUAACCCCGCCUUGCAGAUCUCCAAACCAUGCUUUAAUACCAAUGUAAUUAGUCAGAAAGUGUAAUGAUAUUAGCCCUACCCUUAUGGCAGCCAUAUGUGCGCGUGUUUGUGCUUUGAAUCUGUGCAGAGUACGGUGAUGGAUGGGAGAAGCCACGUAUUUGUGUGUGUGCGCCGAUGUGCAUAUACACUUCACUGUGAUGAUUGUGUGUGUGUGUGUGUGUGUGUGUGUGGUUGGGGGUCGUGGAUUAAGCUUAAUUAAAUAAUAAUAAUAUGAAAAAUAAUAAUAAUUAUAAUAAUAAUCACUUGUAGCCCAGGGAAGACGUGAUAAGGAGCUGACCGAAGUUUGUAUGAACACACACACCCCCACAUAUGCGGGUAUGCACACACGAGCAAACACACAAGUACAUAUUCGCGUGCAUACACGCAUACGCACGCACACACACACGCUCACACACAAACUAGUUGUAUGUCACCUGAGAGCUUUUAGUAAAGAUGGCCACUCGCAGCCAGUGGUUCUGAAGUGUCUAAUGUGGCAGGUCUGAACAUGAACAUAGCACGUUGAUGCGUGUGUGUGCGUGUGCGUGUGUGUGUGUGUGUGUGUGUGUGUGUGUGUGUGUGUGUGUGUGUGUAGGCGUGUGUGUGUAGACUGCGUGUGUGUGAGCGCACAUGCAUGUGUUCAUUCUUGCUUGUAUGUUGUAUUUUGAGUGUGCAUGACCAGGCCGGAAAAUAAUAUUUAAAUAUACAAUAGGCUACUUAAAGUUUGAAAUGUGACAAUAAAGAAAUGCAUCUAAUGCGUAUCUAAUGUUAACUGUAACUGUUUUAAUAGCAUUUUUGUAUAUUAAUAAAUACAUAUAAAAUAAUCUAGAUUUGGACAGUACAAAAAACGUGCAAAUGAAGUGCGCCCAAAAAUGUAAGUUUAUAUAAUUUAAAGUUUAGGCCUACUUAAUAAAAGAAUCCCACAUUGUGUGCGUUUUUAUGUUGUGUAUAUGUGAGGAAAGGAGAUCUGAGAGGUGAAGCCGCUUAUUUGAAUCUCUGUACACUCAUGUACAUCUGGAAGGAUUAGGACCUUAUUUCUGCGGAUUCCCCUGUUUCAAUCUUUGGAAAAAAUUAUAUUUACCACAUUACACAUCUAACAUCAAUUCAGCUACAAAUGUCAUUCAAACUACAAAAUAUGUUGACAUUCUGGAUUUAGUUUUUAAGAUACAGAUAUUGAAUGUUCUGAUGUGUUUUUAAAUUAAGCUUUUAGUCCUUUUCUAGACACUUUCAAAGAUAUUUCUUCAACAUUCUAAAGUUUCCGUUGUUUAAAAACGGCCAGACGUCCAACAUUCUUUUCACUGUAAACAAUGUCACUUCGGACACAAAUAAGCUACUUUGAUCACUUUCCCAACAAGUUAGAAGAAAAUGGCAGCAGGAUCUGCUUGUGAACCGGCCUCACCUGGUGUCUCAGUAACACCCUGAUUACAAACGACAGUAGUUUCUACCACUUUCACCAACAAGACCUACAGAAAGUUAGAUGUUUCAAAAAAUACUGCUGUUUGUCUGAGUUUAGAGAGAUGCAAAAUAGCAAUUUAAUGGCACACCCUCCUUCCUUCUUCUCGGCUCUCGUUUGUUGCCGUGUCCGUAGCAACUGAUCUUCCCCAACACACAGAGCCUGCAGUCGAUACUUUUCCUGGCUGGUUUGCUAGAAGGCUGGAUCCGGAUCUCAGAUGCUGAGAGACAAAUUAACAACUCAGACAGGUCGAAACGGUGCCUGAGAGUGUUGUGUGUUACCGCCACAAAUAUAUGACGAUUUAUAAAGAUAAUCUGGUAUAUCAUCGCUGCUGUAAUGUAUUACAGCUAGGGUGCAUUAGCCGGUUCAUAUUUGCGAGAAUUCACUGCUCUUUUUGUAUUUGAAAUAUGCAUUUAGGAUAUAAACUUAGAUUAUUUUCUCAUUUGUAUUGUACUGCCCUGAAUUACAGUCUAAUGUAUAUUUAAUAAGAUACUAUAUCCAAUAAAUGCACCUGUCAUUUGUAUAUGUAGCCUGUCUUGACGUGUACAGCCUACUUGUAUUAUUAUGUGCUACUUGUAUAUAAUGUUUAUUUUGUAUUUAUGUUUUUUAAAAUAUGUAUUUGGUUCUGUGGGUUGUCCACUUUUCUUGCAAUGAUGUGCUUUUGGCCAGGUUGCAAUAAAAAGUGAAAACGUGUUCUCAAUUUUCUUACCAGGUUAAUGAAUUAACGGUAAAUAUAUAUAAUGAUAAGAUUUAGAGGGCUGUGUUUUGUAAAAUAUUUUGUACUGAAAGCAUCAAAUAAGACCAAAAUUGUGCUGUAGUGAACUAGGGCCGUUAAUAGGGCAUACUCUCCCCUCCAUAGGGCAUACUCUCCCCUCCAUGGGGCAUACUCUCCCCUCCAUGGGGCAUACUCUCCCCUCCAUGGGGCAUACACUCCCCUCCAUAGGGCAUACUCUCCCCUCCAUAGGGCAUACUCUCCCCUCCUGUUCCCCCCUGACUAUCCCCUCACUGUGUUGUUUCCUGAGCUAGAAAAUAUAAGAAAUGUCAUAAUAACUGAUUAAUUAUUUCAUUAGAUGACAGUACAACAUAAAUUACACCUGGGUUUGGAUGCUGAAAUCGUACCUCGAAAAGACGCAUUACAGGGCCAUCUGGCAGCAAAACAUUUUGGGUGCCCCCCUCUUGAUGGCACAUACAUAGAUUUUUUGAUGUCUCAUGCUAAAAGGUUUCCAACCUAGACUAAAUGUCCACAUUGUGGUCAUGGGCUCUGACAACGUAGUGUGACUGGCAUUAGAAGAUGAUCCUAGUGACUGACCAAUAGAAACACGGCAAUGAUGUCCCUGGGGAUCACCGGGAUGUGAAACAAACAAGUCUUAAAGCCAAUCCAGAGAGCCAACAGAAUCCGGCGCUAGAUGGGACGAUUACGGCAUGCGUACGAAUGGUGAUAACCACCAUGGCUCAUUGUAAAAACAACCCCACAGCAGGUGUGGGAGAGACGUGUCCUCAGACACAUAAUCUCGCCAAGCCGUCCUGCUUUCUAUCACAGGGCUCGAAACAUCUGGCCACUGCAAAGCAGCUGUUCUUGGACCUCUGCACCGCUUGUGGGGGCCCACAGCCUUUAACUUGAGGUAACAGAGCUGUGACCGGUACACAACAGUGAGAGAUAAAAUUCCGCUUAGAGAGCCCUGCGAGGUGGUCCCCCGCACCUGAGGUUGUGGGAGAUAUAGUUUGAAAUUCGGGAAUUUCAAGGAUUCAGGGGAGGGGGCGAGGCUUUUUUCUGAAGUCAACCACCGUUGGGAUGUCUCUGUGUGGAGGUCAAUGUUAUUUUGACUGCACCAGGCCAGCUGGUCUACCUCUUCACUGCAAGCAUAAUGAUAGUAACAGAUGGCUGAGUCCAGGACUCUACACGCUGUGUUUCUGGUUGGUUGAGUCCAGGACUCUACACGCUGUGUGUCUGGUUGGUUGAGUCCAGGACUCUACACGCUGUGUGUCUGGUUGGUUGAGUCCAGGACUCUACACGCUGUGUGUCUGGUUGGUCGAGUCCAGGACUCUACACGCUGUGUGUCUGGUUGGUUGAGUCCAGGGCUCUACAUGCUGUGUGUCUGGUUGGUUGAGUCCAGGACUCUACACGCAGUGUGUCUGGUUGGUCGAGUCCAGGACUCUACACGCUGUGUGUCUGGUUGGUAGAGUCCAGGACUCUACACGCUGUGUGGCUGGUUGGUUGAGUCCAGGACUCUACACGCCGUGUGUCUGGUUGGUUGAGUCCAGGACUCUACAUGCUGUGGAAUACAGAAUAAAGAGCAGGCAGGUUGUGUGUUGUAGAGAGCGGCGGCUGGCUAGGCGAGGACAAGGCCAUAGGAGGAAGUCUGAAUGCAUGGCCCUCCCCCAGGGCCCCCAGGGCCCUCCCCCAGGGCCUGUACUGUACACCUACCACCGCUGUGUGGGUGUCCUGUGCAUGCGCGCGUGUGUGUGCAUGCAUGUGUGUUUGUCAGGCAUGCAAGGAUGGGGGCGGUUUACACCCAGUGAAUAAUGUCUGUCUUUGGGUAGCAGCGACCUCUCUAGCGUCCAUUUAGUUCUCCGUCCUGCUCUGUAGUGUCUCCCUCAGUUCCUUUGUCGGGCGACUGAGGACAACCCUCUGUUGCCUGGUCUUUGGACUCACAGAGCGUCCCGCUAAGCAGCGAGAACCCGCUUCCCAGUUCACACCUGCUUUUUGACCAGCGUGUGAAAGAUUAAGUGUGAUUUUAUUUGAAACAUGUGGUGGUGAGCAACAUUUCUGCGCCAGUUUUGCACUAAAUAUAUGUGCCGUUAACAAAAAGAAAGGUUGUUGCAAGUUCCUUGCUCUGUAUCCAUGACGAUUAAGAUUGUUGUCUGUGAUGUUGCUAUAAUUCAUUCAUUCAGGCGAAGCAGCUUGGGUGUGUGUGUGUGUGUGUGUGUGUGUGUGUACGGAGCCUGAGUGACUCUAUGUAUGUGUUUUCAUCUCUUUGUGAAUCUGUAUUUUACUUUUUCAAUGCUGACUGUGUGCCUUCUGAAGGAAUAAACAUCUCAGGGGGAGAGAGUCAGGCUGUUCCUAUCCCUCUGUGGCGUCACCCAAUCAAAAUGAAGGCUUGUUUUUGGAAGAGGACCGACACGUCCUGCAUCUACCGCCAACGCUCCAUAGAACAGACUCACUCACGCUCAGGGGACAGAUUUUUGGUAUCAGUCAAGGAAGGAUUUCUUAAGAAUGCACGUGUUUGAAUGUGCGUGCAUGCUUGUGUUUUAG
ensembl:lncRNA